AGUGUUGUGAAACAUGGCGACUGGCAGGGUUAUGACACUUCUCGGAUACUCUCGGAUCGUAAAAACGGAACAUUUUCCUAUUGUUACCAGGAAGGCUACAACAACAGCGACUGGCGCUGUACUGCCUGAACCACAUAGAACGCCAUUUGGAUUGUUUGGAUUACUGUUUGCCGUUGUACCAGGAUUACUGAUUGGAGCGACGAUAAGCAAGAAGAUAGCAAAUUUCUUAGAAGAAAACGAUCUGUUUGUCCCUUCGGACGACGAUGACGAUGAUGAUUGAGCCUAGGCUUUGAUUUCUAGGAAGAUCUGAUUAUCACAGCUUCUCACCAGGACAUCUGGAAUGCUGUAACUGUUGAAAUUAUGUUUGUAAAAUUUGUAAAUAUUAUUUAUUAAUGUUACUGUGUUAAUAAAACAAUAUGUUGCAAUAUA